AAAGUUUGAUCAUGGCUCAGGAUGAACGCUAGCGGCAGGCUUAACACAUGCAAGUCGAGGGGUAUAGUUCUUCGGAACUAGGGACCGGCGCACGGGUGCGUAACGCGUAUGCAAUCUACCUUUCACAGAGGGAUAGCCCAGAGAAAUUUGGAUUAAUACCUCAUAGUAUAAUUGAAUGGCAUCAUUUAAUUAUUAAAGUCACAACGGUGAAAGAUGAGCAUGCGUCCCAUUAGCUUGUUGGUAAGGUAACGGCUUACCAAGGCAACGAUGGGUAGGGGUCCUGAGAGGGAGAUCCCCCACACUGGUACUGAGACACGGACCAGACUCCUACGGGAGGCAGCAGUGAGGAAUAUUGGUCAAUGGGCGCAAGCCUGAACCAGCCAUGCCGCGUGCAGGAUGACGGUCCUAUGGAUUGUAAACUGCUUUUGUACAGGAAGAAACACUGGUUCGUGAACCAGCUUGACGGUACUGUAAGAAUAAGGAUCGGCUAACUCCGUGCCAGCAGCCGCGGUAAUACGGAGGAUCCAAGCGUUAUCCGGAAUCAUUGGGUUUAAAGGGUCCGUAGGCGGUCAGAUAAGUCAGUGGUGAAAGCCCAUCGCUCAACGGUGGAACGGCCAUUGAUACUGUCUGACUUGAAUUAUUAGGAAGUAACUAGAAUAUGUAGUGUAGCGGUGAAAUGCUUAGAGAUUACAUGGAAUACCAAUUGCGAAGGCAGGUUACUACUAAUGGAUUGACGCUGAUGGACGAAAGCGUGGGUAGCGAACAGGAUUAGAUACCCUGGUAGUCCACGCCCUAAACGAUGCGAACUGGACGUUGGGCUCAAUUAGGAGCUCAGUGUCGAAGCUAACGCGUUAAGUUCGCCGCCUGGGGAGUACGGUCGCAAGACUGAAACUCAAAGGAAUUGACGGGGGCCCGCACAAGCGGUGGAUCAUGUGGUUUAAUUCGAAGCAACGCGCAAAACCUUACCUGGGUUUGACAUCCUCGGACCGCCGUAGAAAUACGGUUUUUGUAGCAAUACAACCGAGAGACAGGUGCUGCAUGGCUGUCGUCAGCUCGUGUGGUGACAUGUUGGGUUAAGUCCCGCAACGAGCGCAACCCCUAUCUUUAGUUGCCAGCGGAUAAUGCCGGGGACUCUAAAGAAACUGCCAGCGCAAGCUGAGAGGAAGGCGGGGACGACGUCAAGUCAUCACGGCCCUUACGUCCUGGGCCACACACGUGCUACAAUGGUAGGUACAGAGGGCAGCUACCCCGCGAGGGGAUGCGAAUCUCUAAAGCCUAUCUCAGUUCGGAUUGGAGUCUGCAACU
rnacentral:rRNA from 1 species